UACAGAGGCCCCAAGCGUUGUUCGGAUUCAUUGGGCGUAAAGGGUGCGUAGGUGGCGCCGUAAGUCGGGUGUGAAAUUUCGGAGCUUAACUCCGAAACUGCAUUCGAUACUGCGGUGCUUGAGGACUGGAGAGGAGACUGGAAUUCAUGGUGUAGCAGUGAAAUGCGUAGAGAUCAUGAGGAAGACCAGUGGCGAAGGCGGGUCUCUGGACAGUUCCUGACACUGAGGCACGAAGGCCAGGGGAGCAAACGGG
rnacentral:rRNA from 1 species